CCUACGGGUGACUGCAGUGGGGGAUAUUGCACAAUGGGGGAAACCCUGAUGCAGCGACGCCGCGUGUGGGAAGACGGUCUUCUGGAUUGUAAACCACUGUCCCCAGGGACGAAAAUGACGGUACCUGGGGAGGAAGCUCCGGCUAACUACGUGCCAGCAGCCGCGGUAAUACGUAGGGAGCAAGCGUUGUCCGGAAUUACUGGGUGUAAAGGGAGCGUAGGCGGGGAUGCAAGUUGGGUGUCAAAACUACCGGCUCAACCGAUAGUCGCACUUAAAACUGCAGCUCUUGAGUGAAGUAGAGGCAGGCGGAAUUCCUAGUGUAGCGGUGAAAUGCGUAGAUAUUAGGAGGAACACCAGUGGCGAAGGCGGCCUGCUGGGCUUUUACUGACGCUGAGGCUCGAAAGUGUGGGGAGCAAACAGGAUUAGAUACCCUAGUAGUC
rnacentral:rRNA from 1 species